CCUACGGGGUGCACCAGUGGGGAAUAUUGCACAAUGGGCGCAAGCCUGAUGCAGCCAUGCCGCGUGUGUGAAGAAGGCCUUCGGGUUGUAAAGCACUCUCAGCGGGGAGGAAGGCGAUAAGGUUAAUAACCUUGUCGAUUGACGUUACCCGCAGAAGAAGCACCGGCUAACUCCGUGCCAGCAGCCGCGGUAAUACGGAGGGUGCAAGCGUUAAUCGGAAUUACUGGGCGUAAAGCGCACGCAGGCGGUCUGUCAAGUCGGAUGUGAAAUCCCCGGGCUCAACCUGGGAACUGCAUUCGAAACUGGCAGGCUAGAGUCUUGUAGAGGGGGGUAGAAUUCCAGGUGUAGCGAUGAGAUGCGUAGAGAUCUGGAGGAAUACCGGUGGCGAAGGCGGCCCCCUGGACAAAGACUGACGCUCAGGUGCGAAAGCGUGGGGAGCAACGGGAUUAGAUACCCGUGUAGUC
rnacentral:rRNA from 1 species